AGGACGAACGCUGGCGGCGUGCUUAACACAUGCAAGUCGAGCGAUGAACCUCCUUCGGGAGGGGAUUAGCGGCGAACGGGUGAGUAACACGUGGGCAACCUGCCCUCAGCUCUGGGAUAACCCCUCGAAAGAGGAGCUAAUACCGGAUACGACUUCCUGCGGCAUCACGGGAAGUGGAAAGUUUUUCGGCUGAGGAUGGGCCCGCGGCCUAUCAGCUUGUUGGUGGGUAACGGCCCACAAGGCGACGAC
rnacentral:rRNA from 1 species